UACGUAGGGUGCAAGCGUUAAUCGGAAUUACUGGGCGUAAAGCGUGCGCAGGCGGCUUUGCAAGACAGAUGUCGAAAUCCCCGGGCUCAACCUGGGAACUGCAUUUGUGACUGCAUGGCUAGAGUACGGUAGAGGGGGAUGGGAUUCCGCGUGUAGCAGUGAAAUGCGUAGAUAUGCGGAGGAACACCGAUGGCGAAGGCAAUCCCCUGGACCUGUACUGACGCUCAUGCACGAAAGCGUGGGGAGCAAACAGG
rnacentral:rRNA from 1 species